rnacentral:ncRNA from 1 species
GGUGUCCCUUAGACCCCCAAAUCUGCGUGUGAAUAGCCCGUUUCCAUUGGCCUGGACGGCGGUUCGUGAAUC